UACAGAGACUGCAAGCGUUAUUCGGAUUCACUAGGCGUAAAGGGUGCGCAGGCGGCCGUGUGUGUUGGGCGUGAAAGCCCGGAGCUUAACUCCGGAAUUGCGCUCAAAACUACAUGGCUAGAGCAUUGGAGAGGGUAGCAGAAUUCACGGUGUAGCAGUGAAAUGCGUAGAUAUCGAGAGGAACACCAGAGGUGAAGACGGGUUGCUGGGCUGACACUGACGCUGAGGCGCGAAAGCCAGGGGAGCAAACGGG
rnacentral:rRNA from 1 species